AUUGAACGCUGGCGGCAUGCUUUACACAUGCCAGUCGAACGGUAACAGGCCUACGGGUGCUGACGAGUGGCGAACGGGUGAGUAAUGCAUCGGAACGUGCCCAGAGGUGGGGGAUAACGCAGCGAAAGCUGUGCUAAUACCGCAUGUGAUCUGAGGAUGAAAGCGGGGGACCAAGCAGCAAUGUUUGGCCUCGCGCCUCUGGAGCGGCCGAUGUCAGAUUAGGUAGUUGGUGGGGUAAAGGCCUACCAAGCCGACGAUCUGUAGCUGGUCUGAGAGGACGACCAGCCACACUGGGACUGAGACACGGCCCAGACUCCUACGGGAGGCAGCAGCGGGGAAUUUUGGACAAUGGGCGCAAGCCUGAUCCAGCAAUGCCGCGUGCGGGAAGAAGGCCUUCGGGUUGUAAACCGCUUUUGUACGGAACGAAAAGGCUCUGGCUAAUACCUGGGGCUGAUGACGGUACCGUAAGAAUAAGCACCGGCUAACUACGUG
rnacentral:rRNA from 1 species